GUGCCAAUUCAGCAGCACAUAUUUAAAACUAGAGCAAUAAAGAGAAUAACAGCAAGGCUCCUACAGAAGAAUGACAUACAUAUGCAUGAAACAUCCAUAUUUUUA